UACAGAGGUCCCAAGCGUUACUGAGAAUCACUGGGUUUAAAGGGUGCGUAGGUGGUCCGUUAAGUCAGUUGUGAAAUCCCCGGGCUCAACUCGGGAACUGCUUCUGAUACUGGCGGACUUGAGGCCAGUAGGGGUCACUAGAACUGACGGUGGAGCGGUGAAAUGCGUAGAUAUCGUCAGGAAUGCCGGUGGUGAAGACGGGUGACUGGGCUGGUUCUGACACUGAGGCACGAAAGCGUGGGGAGCGAACAGG
rnacentral:rRNA from 1 species